CACAUUAAGUUUGAUUUCUAAACGAUUUGGUAUAUUGUUUGUUUUUGGUGUCAUUUUAUGUGAAUUAGAAGUCUGAAGGUGAUAUGUAUCAUUAUAGGUAAAAUAAAGGUGUGUAGAGGAUAUGCAUCAUUAUAGAUUUAAGAUGAGUGUUUCACCCAGUUGUGACCAGCAUAUUUUGUGACAUCUAAAGCAGACAAACUAAUUGUCUGACAUGGGUCUCUAUAAGUUUUUUUCUGUGCCUAUCUUUUACAAGGGCUUUUCCUUAGGCCACAAAAGUGUGUCCUGCAGCCUUGAUGAGAGGAACAGUUUCAAUACAUUUUAAGCCAAAAUCAUAUAAUAUCAAAAGUGGAAAUCAAGUCUACUGAGCAAGACAGAUCUAGACAACAUUGGGUCUGCAUCUAAGCCUGUUGCUGGGGACUUUUAAGACCUCUGCCUAUCUGCAAAUAGCUAUGAAGGAAACUCAAAGCUCAAUAGUCCCAAACACUCCUAAAGAAGAGAGCAAUGUUAUAACCUUGCCUUGCAUACCACUAUUCAAGUUAGUGCAGAAGUUACACUCCAAGUUGUGCAUUGUGAGGAACUAGGCUAGAGAUUAAUGUUUGAUAUUAGAGAGAAACAAUGGAGUUCAGCCCAAGUCUAGGGCUUGUGAAGAAGCUAUGUGCUAGUGAUGUCCUGUAAAUAAACACCUGUCCUUGUU